CUCAGAUCAGGCAAGAUUACCC
rnacentral:rRNA from 1 species